UAGUAAAAAUGUAUAAAAAAAAAUGAUAGUUUAUUCUUCAUCAAUUUAAAUUAAUAAUAAUAAUAAUUUAAUUUGAAGUUAAAGCAUUUGAAAAAGUUUUAAAUUUAAAACUAACAGUUUCAUCUAAAAAAAAUUAAAAACAUGUAUAAGUUAAAAAAAAAUAUAUAUAUAUAUAUAUACACAUAAAAGGGAAAAUGUAUAAAAAAAUAAUAAUGCAUUUUCUAUCAACUUGUUGUGAAAGAGAAAUGGUAAUUUAACUCAACCAGCCACUUCAAUCAUGCUGUGUCUAACUAUUUCUCAUGAAGGAAAAAAAGAAGAAGAAAAAGUUGUAUAAACCAAGCUAGCUAGCCCUUCUUUCUUGCCGCCCAUGAUCUCCCGGCUGCUUCAACUCUUUCUACAUCCUUUUGUUCUAGAGCAAAAAGAAGGUCCACUUUCUCGCUUCUUUUUCUUCUCCCUUAUGCAUUUUGUGUUUCUUAAAUUUCCUUGGAAACAAAAAAAAAGUCCACUUUCUUGCUUAUUUUUCUCCAAGAACGUCCAAGAGGAAUGCAGUUUUCUUGCGUUUGGUUGUGCAUCAGAUUCUUGCCGACGAUACAGAUUAUGGCUGCUUUCACUCGUCUUCUUCAUAACAAAUAUUAGGUUUCAUUGGAGGGAUUUCUCUGUGAAUCAUUGUGAAAAACACUCUCCGAACUCAACAAUGGCGAAACUCAUUUUGCUUCUAACUCUAUGCAUUCUUCUGGCUUUGGUGCUCGCUACUCGCCCCCUCAAAAAAGCCAAUGAUUGUAUAAGGAUGAGUUAACUGCGAUACCUGCCUUGUCAGUUUCGAGACCUCCGCUUCCAACUACAUCGCUGGUAGCCAUUAAAAUUUCUCUCUUUUUUCGCUUUUUUAUUUUUUUUUUUGGGGGGGGGGGGGGGAGGUGGGGAUUUGCUUGAAUACACUGUGAAUCGUAAUUAUCCAACACUAGUGAGUGAAAGAAGUCUUAGUUUGCUUAAUUUAUUUUAGAUCUGAGUCCGUAUUUGGGAGUGUAUUGUGAUUUUUUUUUCCUAAUUUUUGGUUGACUAAUCUGUGUUUAAUCUAAGUUAAAUGAAGAAUUUUAGUUUAGAUUAUUUAAAAGUAAAUAUAUUAUUAUUAUUAAGGGUUAGAGAUUGGGGGAUUUUCAACCUUCUAUCUGCAUUUGUAAAUCUAAAGAAAUCCUUAGUUGUUUAUCUGUUGUUUUAUAAAAAAGAAAAAGUGAAAAGAAAAGGGGGAGGGGGGCAUUUGCUUGAAUACGCUGUGAAUCAUAAUUAUCUGACACUAGUGAGUGAAAGAAGUCUUAGUUUGCUUAACUUAUUUCAGAUCUGAGUCCGUAUUUGGUGGAUUGUGAAACUACGCAUUUCUUUUUGUUAUUAUAUUGUGAAUUUUUAGGAAGUGUAUUGUGAUUUUUUUCCUAAUUUUUGGUUGACUGAUCUGUGUUUAAUCUAAGUUAAAUGAAGAAUCUCAGUGUAGAUUAUUUAAAAAUAAAUAUAUUAUUAUUAUUAAGGGUUAGAGAUUGGGGCAUUUUCAACCUUCUAUCUGCAUUUGUAAAUCUAAAGAAAUUCUUGGUUGUUUAUCUGUUGUUUUAUAAAAAAGAAAAAGUGAAAAGAAAAAGGAAAUUUAGAACAUUGAAUUUGAUU